rnacentral:rRNA from 1 species
GCGAAAUGCGAUACUUGGUGUGAAUUGCAGAAUCCCGUGAACCAUCGAGUCUUUGAACGCAAGUUGCGCCCGAAGCUAUCAAGCUGAGGGCACGUCUGCCUGGGMGUCACA